rnacentral:miRNA from 1 species
UGCUCGGAUUGAGUGUAUUUU